ACUCAUGUCAUUGUUAUGUCUUUUAUCUAUGUGAAACGUAUGAGAUUUCUGUGUUGAGUUGAUUUAUUUGUUUCCGCCUUGUUUCAGCUGUUUAUUGGCUGUUUGUCAUUAGGAAAACAAUUGAAAAUUAAAAAGUAAAACGCGGAAUACUUAUUUUAAUACAACAAAAGAAGAGCAGAUUCCAUCGUGAAAGACCAAAAUUCAUUCGCAAAAUUCAAGAUCUUUAGUAGGUUUGUCGUUGCCGUUUAUAGGCUAUGAGAUUGACCAUUAUAAACUGCAAUGUACUGUUGAAUCCAAUUCCACUCCACUCAAAAUGUCUCUCUCUCUAGACAUCUGUCCCAUUGCAUGUAAGAGGGAGAGAGAAAAGAGACAAAACUCAAAAACAGAGAUAAGACUCUUGAAGAGUGUGAACGACAGAGAGAGAGAAAGUUUUUUUUUUUAAUUUUCUCCUUUUGUUAAUCUUUUCUCCUAUCUUCUCCUCUCCUCUCCCCGAAUAUCUCAUCCCUUUGUUCUUUCUUUUUUGUUAAUUUAUUUUCCCUUCUUGAUUUGGUCAAACCCUAGAUUUGUUUUUCCCAAAGGGUAUUCAAAAAUGAAUAUAACUUUCCUCUUUUCCUUUGAUUAUAAAUAUUCCCUCUGGUUCUUGCUUAACCUAAGCCUCUCAGAUCUAACUCUACAUCCUCCGUUCCCAAACCCAUUUCCCAUGGUCGAUCUCUAAUUUCAGAAUCUGUCUAGGUAAGGACAUUGAAUGAGUUUUGGGAUAAAAUUUUAGAGAAACGCAAAGAAACUGACAGAAGAGAGUGAGCACACAAAGGCACUUUGCAUGUUCGAUGCAUUUGCUUCUCUUGCGUGCUCACUGCUCUAUCUGUCAGAUUCCGGCUCCGAUUCUUUUCGGUCUGUUCACGUUUUCUUCUUUAAUUGUGCUCCCAUUCUCUCUCUUUUGUUCUUCAUCCCUCGAAAUUAAGGUAACUAAUACGAUCUCGCUCCUUUAUUAUGUAAAGAUUUGGUUUCUAAUGCAUGCUACUUCUUUUUUCUCCUCCUUUGUUAUACUUUAUAUUUUAUGAGAUCAUUAGUUCCGAAAAAGCUUUAAUCUUAGAUGUUUAUGGGUUAUGGCUUGGUUAAACGAGAUUAAUAUGGGACCAUUAACGUUAACCUAGUUUUUUCUUAGGUUGGUCCUAACUCUUUUGAAUCCUUAAUUUCCUCAAUUCAAACUUAGAUUAUUAAUCAUAUGUUUUGAUUUCCUCUUUUUUUUUUUUCCGUUUCCUACUAGCUUUCAAAAUCUGUGAUUUAGUCUCUUGAUUCAUAAAUAUGUGUAGAUCUGUUAUUUGCUUCAUAUGAUGACAUCUGUAGAUUUUGCAAGAGCACUGUUCAUGAUCUUCAGUUGUUGGUUUUCUAGAUUAUUUAUACUGUAUGCUUGUACAUUUCGAUUGAGGUAUAUAUGAUCAUGUUUCUAAAUUAUUCUGCUGUAUAUAGCUUGAUGUGUGAUAUAGAUGGUAUCUAAUUUUAAAACAUUGGUUCCAUGUGAUCACGUUGUGAAUCUUACGAGAAUAUUCUUGUGGACUUGUUCUUGAUCUAAGAACACGUUCUUUGCAUUUAAUUUUCAAAACGACCACAUAGACUCAUCAAUCUGUGUAUUUUUUUCCUAUUUAUAACUAUAAGUAGUAAAUAUGGGUUCCGGAAGCAUGGCCAAUUCAAUAUAAGUGGUUACGAAAUCUACAGUAAUUGAAUUGCUUUUUGAAUGCUUCAUGUUUGCGUGUCCAUGACUAAUUUUGAAGAAGAUUAAAAUGUGAUUUUCCAUCGUUUAAAUUAAUUAUGAGUUUUUUCUUUCUUUCUGCCAAAACACUAUUCCAAGUUAUUUUUAAUAUAUGCUUUCAUAUCUAUGGCAGAGAUUUAAUUGAGUCUCGGGAUUUGUUUCCAAGUGAUGAGGUGAUUAAUAUUCUCCUAAUCGUGUCAAUCUUCUACGAUUUUUUUCCUCUUGUGUUGUUGCUAGCUAGGUGUCUCUUGUCAUGCAGGUCUUGCUUUCUCCUUUUUCUCAUUUGUUAAUUAGAAACCAGUUAGUCGAUUAUUUUUCACACAAACCUAGGUAUGUAAUUCCUUGUAGCUGGCAACAAAUAGGUUUUAACUUCGUCAAGAGAAAGAUAGUUCUUACUUGGACGUGUCAAAUGUGUUUUAAUCCUCAGUGGCAUGUUCAUAAGAAGGAACGAUAUAUGAGUCAUCCGAGAAAUUAGAAUCACUCGGUGCACAUUUGCGUUAGCCAGGAAGCAUGGAAGACAUAACCAAGGAACCUCUAACAUAUCUUUUAUUUAAGGUAUCAUCAACGGUGCCCAUUGUGAUUUGUGAACAAGCUAUUUUUAUUUGCCCCCAUUUUACUCAACAUGUAACUUGGUUGGUAUCCAGAUUGUAAUAUGCAGCAAAUCCUCUGUCUUGAUUGAGAGGGAUAUUUUAUGUUACAAGACGGUACUAAUGAUCUACCCUUGGUGAUC